GGUGUGGGACGGUGGAGGAAUCGCGGGCAGCGGCUGGGAGGACGGGGCGGGCAGCCUGCCCGGGCUGCCCGAGAUGGGGGGCCUGCGCUCUAUAAGUUCCGGUGCUGUGUAGCUGAACGUAGUUUGCCGCUUUAGCUCUUUGAGUCUAUCUUCGAAGAUCUGAAGGAAAUCAAGGACAGAAAAAUGGCAUCCAACUUCGUGAGCAAGGAAGACCACCACGAUUACCACCAGCACUACCAGGCACCGUCGCCGCCGGGAGUUCGGAGGACUUGGUCCUCCAACUCAUCCGCCUGCGGCCAGGGGGCCGUCCCGAAGUGCGUGUGCGCUCCGACAACCCACGCGGGUUCCUUCAAGUGCCGUCUCCACAGGACGAGUUCCCACAGCCACACCCCCGCCUCCCCCACCUCUAUCCCUCCGCCGCCACGCGUGAACACCUCCCGCGCCCCCACCGUAGAGGCCCAGUGACUACAAGAAAGCUUCAGAAGUAGGGAUAUGUUUGGUGAUUCCCGAUGGUUAUGGAGAUAAUUAUGGCGUCUAGAGGAUGGAGGAGAGAGAGGGAGACGGGUGUUACCAGUGUUGUAAUUAGUCCUUUCCCGUAAUAGCUAGUUCUGUUUUCCGUGUGUGAGAGAUGAUACCUCAUGUAGUAGUUUCAUUUGGAGAUCUUGUUGUUGUUGAAGCUGUUCUUGUAGAUAUUAUCCGCUUCCAAGCACCAAAGAAAACAAAAACGAGUGUUGCUAUCUGUAAUGUUCUAAUCCGAUCAACUCGUGGAUAAACAUCAGUGUUUGAGAAAGGACAGAUACAACAAUCAACAGGUGGCAGACUCAGUGGGCGUGAGACAAACGAGUUGACGUUUUCACUUUGCUCUUUACCUUUUUCUCACACUUUUUCCCUUCGUCGUUUGCUGUGGACAGCGGUAAUUGGUUGCCUUCGAUCUGCCCAGGUAUGCGAUCAACCAUUGUGGGUUCUUGGGCAUCAAGCAGCAGGAUGCAAGAUGAUUGCCCCCAGUGUGUUCCAUGAAUUGCGCGUCCUCUGGUCAAUGUCGGGAACUUUCUACGGGGUGAUUCGGAUGAUGAGCUAUCCGAGCUCUCGGGAAGGAGUGCUGGUUGGUGUUGGUCGGGAUCGGGGCUGAUUGGCGACUCCUUGGUGCCGAGCGAGUCGCGCUCCCAUGCCGAGUCCCUCACCGUCGAUGAGUGGUAGUCCUCCUGCAAAAUGGCCUCCGCCGGGUGGUACCUGACCGUGGCCCCUCCGACGAGCAAGUUAGUAACGAGAGGGAUUGUUCUCUUUUCUCUCAUUCUUUAGUCGGAGGCCAGCCAGGUUUAUACCGUGGCGCGAAGGCCGAUGGUGUGUCAGACGACAUCGCCCUGAGCCAUCGGGACGGGAUGUGUGGCGCAGGGUUCUGACUUGACGUGCUAUGUCGGCUGUGACGUGUUCAGGCUCUGUCAAAAUAUACCAUAUCACGUGGGAAUGCCUAUCAUGCCUUGGGUAAAGUGUGCUGGAAUGAUGUUCUGUAUUGGACUGUGGUUAACUAUAAGAAAUUCUAAUUUGCGAAUGCUCAUGGACUUCUGGUCAUUGUUGA